UACGAAGGGGGCAAGCGUUGUUCGGAAUUACUGGGCGUAAAGGGCGCGUAGGCGGCCUGUUAAGUGGAACGUGAAAUCCCCGGGCUCAACCCGGGAACUGCGUCCGAUACUGCCUGGCUAGAGGUAGGUAGGGGAGAUCGGAAUUCCUGGUGUAGCGGUGAAAUGCGCAGAUAUCAGGAGGAACACCGGUGGCGAAGGCGGAUCUCUGGGCCUUACCUGACGCUCAGGCGCGAAAGCUAGGGGAGCGAACUGG
rnacentral:rRNA from 1 species